rnacentral:tRNA from 1 species
AACAGGGUGGCCUAACGGAAAGAGCCCGGGCUUGGGAGUCGGAGGUCGUGGGUUCUAAUCCCAGCUCCGUUA